rnacentral:lncRNA from 1 species
UUUACACUUCACAAAUGCUAACAGAUGGCCAGGAAGGCUAAAGGCUAUCGUGUCCUGGAAAGGCUUUAAGGCACAGGGAAACUACACGUUUUCAGAUUGCUAGGCUACCUACCGCAAGGCUGCCAGCAGACGUGUUCAACCUCUUGUCUACCUCCUGAUCGGGGAUUUCCUGUUUUCCUCUAAUAGUAAAGUGCCUCACCGUUUGAGGCAGAGAGGCAGGUCUUCCAGGAGAACCCCUGUGUACUCUAGCGUGGGGAUGCUUUUCCCAGGGCUGACUAGAGAGCGGUGCUCAGUCGUCCUCUGCACGAUUGUCACAGAUUACACCGAGAACGCUGGCUUAACCCCAAAGAGAAAUCAGUAAAUGGAAGACCGUCGUGGAUGGCCUUCUGCAGAUGAGGUUUGUGUUGCUCUGUGUCCUGCAGUUCUUUUAUCUAAUGAGAAAGUAUGUAAACAGUGUUGCUCAGCGUUGCUGGAGUGAGGUGGUGGCUCUCAGUGAUAGAUACUUGCUGAGUACAGCUGUCCCAUUUUCUUACAUCAUUUUAAAGCUUUUAGUUUUUUUUUUUUUUUAAACAUUUUUCCUUUUUUUUUAAAAAAAAAUUAUGUAUGUGAAUAUACCGUAGCUGUCUUCAGACACACCAGAAGAAGGCAUUGGAUCCCAUUACAGAUGGUAAUGAGCCACCAUGUGGUUCCUAGGAAUUGAACUCAGGACCUCUAGAAGAGCAGUCAAUUGUCUUAACCAUUAAGCCAUCUCUCCAGGCCUUUAAGCUUAGUUUUUAAAACCUUAAGCCGUGUCUAGCGACUGAGUCCUGUUGUUGGAUAUGACAUUACUAAUUGAGAAGCUGAUACUCACAGUGUUUUAUUUAAACACUGAGUAGUUUUUUGUUUGUUUGUUUGUUUGUUUGGCUGGUUGGUUUUUGAGACAAUGGUUGGUCACUGCAUAGCCCUGGUGGGCCUCAAACUUGCAGCUGACCUGGCUCUGCCUCCCGAGUACUGGGACUACAGGUGUGUGCCCCAGCUUGUCAGCGUUGGGUGGUCCCUACCACCUACCUUCUUACCCCCCCCCCAUAGUUAAAUCAUUUUUAAAACUGUAAACACUCUGUGGCAGCACAGGCACAGAAGUAUCCUUAAAUUUAAGCACUGGUUUUGUUGUUGUUCAUGUCCACAAUUGAAAUCAGGAAAUAGAAAUUUAUUAUCAUUCAAAAGCCUCCUUUCCAUCUUUUUCUUAGUUACUGGCCUUCUACUUGUAUCCUACAGUCUAACUUUACCUGUUUUUUUUUCCUUUUUUUCUAACUCUUUUUAGAUACAUGGUACCCUUUUGUACAAGACUUAAUUCUCUCAGUACUGUGAGAUCGACCGAUGGAGAGACAACAGUUCCUUCUCUUAUGGCUAUGUCUAAACAUCUGAAUGAGCUUUUUGCCUAGCCAUUAGUGGGUGCUGGGUUCUCUUCUGUAUAUGUAUAUGUAAGCCAUAAAGAUAUUCUUAGGUGUGUAUAUAUAUAUAUAUAUGUGUGUGUGUGUGUGUGUGUAUACAUAUAUAUACACACAUGUAUAUGUGUGUGUGUAUAUAUAUAUAUAUGCAUAUAUAUGUAAGCCAUAAGGAUAUUCAUAGGUGUAUUUUUUUUGGUAUAUUUUGAAGUGGGACUUUUUUUAAAAAAUUGAGGUUCUGCUCAAAUUCCCUUUUGUUUCCACUGUAAGUGGUUUUUUGUUGUUUAUUUGGUUUGUUUGUUUUUUCUCCUUUCUGUGUCAUUAGCUAUGGACAGGAAGUCAUCAUGCCUUCAUUUUACAUUCCCACGAUUGCAGUGAGGUUAAACUCUUCAUGGUUACUGGCUGUGUCUAGAUCGUCUUUGGGAAGUGUUGUUUAGUCUCUAAGCCCUUUCAAGACUAAAUACCAUGUCCUGUUGAUGUUUCAGAGGUUCUCCAUGUAUUCUUAGUAUGAAACUUUAAAUAGUUAAAUGCUCUUAUAUCAGACAAAUUAGAUUAUAAGUAAAGAGACAUUUAAUAAAAUGGCCAGCUCUGCAACAGUGAAGUGUAACAAUUCUCCAUUUGUCUGUACCUAAAAAUACAAAUUUAAAACGAUAGAAUAAAGCAAAAAAUGGUCACCUGAACUAUGUUUUUGAGGGAAACUAAUAGAAGAAAUGAAGACACACUCUCCCCAAACCAAUGUAGAGACAUUUGAGCAUGACUAACCAAUCCUAACAGACACACAUCCAGAAAAUACAGAGUUCUUGCAACCCUGAAGCAUGGAAAGUCCUUUUCCUUAGGACUGUUGUGUGGCCUUCUGUAUAGAGACCACUUUUACCUCCUUAAUUAGUUUUACUCCUAGGCAUUUGGGAAUUUGUUGAUUAUAGUAUCAGUUGUACAUAUUUAACAUUUUUAUUAAUAUUUUAGCAUAUAAAAUAAUGGGCUUCGUUACGAUAUUUUCAUACAUGUGCUGUGUUCAUCUUUUCUGCAUUAUUCUCUCCCACCCAGCUCCUCUCAAAUAAUCCCAUCUGCCUAUCUCCCUCCCUCUCUCUCUCCCUCCUUCUCUCUCUCCCUCCCUCCCUCCCUCCUUCCGAUUCAUCCUAGAUUACACAUAAGAAGCAUGAUAAUUGUCUUUCUGAGUCUGUCAUUUCACUGAACACGACACUCUCCAGUUCUGUUUUCUUGAGAAUGGCAUAAUUUCAUUCUUUAUCACUGAAUAAAACUACAUUGUAUGUCUAUACAUUUUCUGUAUUCAUCUAUUGGCUAGUAUCUAGACUGAUCGUGUUUAUUGGCUAUUAGCAGCUCGUUUUCUCAGUUUUGCUAUGGUAAAAAUGCAGCUGAUUUUUUUUUUUUUGUAUACAUUUUUAGUAGCAAGUUGCAUUUCCCAAAGAUGGUCCUGUCCCAUCCCAUCUGCUCUUUAUAACUGGUGUCAGUGUCAUCUAUGGAACAGGGAGUCCAUGCCACCUCCCCUUAUAUUAGUAGAACUUAUGUGAUAAAUUUGGAGGUUUGCGGAUGAUACAGAAAGAGACUAGGUCAGGAGUUUUAUCUGGAUGGUGUGUGGACAGGGUUGCAAGAUUGCAUAUAUCUAUUGGAUAUAUGAGAAUUUGGAUUUGUUACUGGCAAGCUAGUGGUCCUAGCCCACUGUGGAGGAAGAGACAGUGUGGGCCACCCCUAGCCCACCCUUCACUUCUAUGAUCAGUAGGCUACAGCAAAGUUCCCCUUGUGGUUAAACCACUUCCCAGGCUUUGAACCAUCCUGAGGGCCGUGUAGUGUUGUUUUCUGUAGAGCCAAAUAGAGAGCACUGCUUCUGGCUGCCUUCCCACUAGCAUCUGACUCCACCCUUCUGUCAGCCUUGUCAGCCAUCAUUGUAACAGGCACGGAGCUUUCAUUGUGCCAGCCACAUUUAUGUCGACUCAUUACAAGCUAGAGUCAUCUGAGAAGAGGGAACCUCAAGUGAGAAAAUGCCUCUAUAAGAGCAGGCUGUAGGAGAUUUGAAGUGCCAGGGUAGGGGGAUACCAGAGAGGCCCCACCUGCUCAGAGGAGAAGGGGAAGGGGAGUGGGGAAAAGACUGUGGCAGGGGGUGACUGGGAGGAGGCAGUGAGCGGGAUGUAAAGUGAAUAAGUAAAAAAGAAGAGAGAGAAAG